CUCAUUGAUAAAAGAGGAAGAGGAAUGAAACCUACUCCUUCAGUUCAGACCAAGUUUUUCUACCCAUUUGAAUCCUAGAGCUUGUCUCUGAUGUGUGGAGAAUGAGUAUGGCGACGAAAGCAGGUCGUAUCGGUUUUGGAUUGUUUGCUUCCUGGUGUAGGAGUUUACCAUCCAGAAUUUCCUAAUUGUUUGUGUAGUAGCAGUGCAAUUUCCACUGCCUGUAGUAUCAAUGCAGUAAGCUUGCAGUAAGCUAGAGUUAGGACUAGUGUUAGUUUAACUAAUCCUUUUGACUUUGAGUUUAGCAGUAGCUUGAUGUAAUAGGUUGAUGUUGUGAUCUCUUGCAUAUGUAUAAUAGUUUCUAGUAGUUUGUUAAUUUCAUCAUGCUAAACAUAUCAAGCUAACCAUUGGAGUUUUUAAUUGUUUAUGGAUGGCUUUGGUGUAUAUAUUUUUUUAAGACUUUGGUGUAUAUCUUGUAACUACAAUAUCCAUCCACGUUAUCAAUUCCAUGCCUUUCGGUACAAAUUCGGUAAGGAAAAUUCGGUGCAUAUAGCACCGCUGUUACAUCUAA
rnacentral:lncRNA from 1 species